rnacentral:rRNA from 1 species
AGUACAGGAUGGACCCGCGUCUGAUUAGCUAGUUGGUAAGGUAACGGCUUACCAAGGCGACGAUCAGUAGCCGACCUGAGAGGGUGAUCGGCCACAUUGGAACUGAGACACGGUCCAAACUCCUACGGGAGGCAGCAGUGGGGAAUAUUGCACAAUGGGCGAAAGCCUGAUGCAGCAACGCCGCGUGAGUGAUGAAGGCCGUCGGGUCGUAAAACUCUGUCCUCAAGGAAGAUAAUGACGGUACUUGGGGAGGAAGCCCCGGCUAACUACGUGCCAGCAGCCGCGGUAAUACGUAGGGGGCUAGCGUUAUCCGGAUUUACUGGGCGUAAAGGGUGCGUAGGCGGUCUUUCAAGUCAGGAGUGAAAGGCUACGGCU